UGAGUUUUCUCUAAGCCGCAGUUCCUCAGCCCUAGAGGGGAGUAAUAGGGCCGGCCUCUAGGUAAGGAUGAAAUAGCAUAGGGCACUCUUAGCACAGUGCCCGGCAGGGAGGAAGUGCUCAGAACUGGUGGCAAUCAUGGUCAUCGUAACAGAAGAGGUGGAGGGCACAGGGCACCCUGGAAAGGACACCAACUUGGCAUCAGGAGAUUGUCACAUGACCAUUUACCAUCAAGACACUUAACUUCUCUGAUCCCAGUGGCUUCCAUUUGCAAUGUAUUUGGCUUCAAUUUGGGGCUAGCCCUGGCUCAUUCGUUCAGCAGCUGGCCAGCAUUCUGAGAGAGUACAGAAGCACACGGGCUUCCUGAAGCCUAGAAAGGGCACACUGCCUCUCCAGCUCAUUCUAUUGGUCAAGGCCUGCCCAGGUUCAAGUGGUGGUGUGAUGGCCUCAACCUCUUGGAAUUACAUCAAAUACACUGGAGUAAUGGUUUCGGUGAGAAAAGAGUCUGCCCUGGGGAUCAACAUGCACAGAUGUGACUGUCCCAAGGUUGCUGGGUAGCCUGGAACUUCUUGGUGUAGAUUCUCCAGAGUGGGUGCCCUGGCCUUAACUCUGAAAAUGACCCUUUUCUAGGCCACACUAUGUGUUGCUUCAACAGCACCAAACCCAAGAGGCCAAGAAGUCCCAUGAUCUGCCACCUGCAAACUGAAGACCCAGGAAAUCCAGUGUGUGGUUCAAAAGCCUAAGAGCCAGAGAGCUGAUGGUGUAGAUUCCAGUCGAGUCUGAAGACCUGAGAGCCAGGAGCAUCGAGGGCAGGGAGUUAAAGUGGUAGUGCUAUUGAGAGGGAAUUCCCUGAGAUCAGUGAAGUGUGGGAGACAUCCUUAGCUGUGGACUGAGAAACCUGCAUAGCCCAGGACCCCUCCUCAUCUCAACCUGCUGGAUGGGCUUGAAGAUGCUGCACAAAAGACAUUCUCCGCCCUGGGCAAUGAAGCGUGUUGUGAAAAACAAAUACUUCCAAACAGUGGGACCUGAGUUUGAUUCCAGUUUUGAUCACUUAUUUGCUCAGUAAUUGUAGCCAUUUUAAGGGUCAUUUUGAUCCUCUGAAAGGCAGGGAUCAUAGUAAGUCUUCCUGAUGAGGUUUCCUUGAGGACUGAUGAGGGAGCUUAUGCAAAAGCAACAGGUGCAGUCCCUGGGUCAGGUGAAUGUGCCAGAACCUUACCCUGAUCUUUCAAAUCUGUUCUACUUGAAACCUCAGGAACAUGUUGCAUUUUUCUAACCAUGCCCUUUUGUCUAAGGGUAAGAGGUUGUGGCUGCAGUUCCAUGCACUCAGAGAACAUCUGUCCUGAAAGCGAGUCCCACAUGCACAGAUUCUGCUAGGCUCUGCUCUCACAUGCAGCGUCUUCAGUGGAUACAAGUUCCUGAUGCUGCUCUCCGGGGCAUGUGUGUGCUCUGUCCUUCCACAUGCCUUGUACAGGGGUCCUAGAGUGACAGGAGGCAAAUGCUCCUCAGCCCUACAUUAGCCAUAAUAAACACUCUAGGGGUGACAGGCGAAGCUGGGCCCGUAGGCACUGUGCCCCAGUCACCUGUUACUGCAUGCCCUGCCCUGAGCAGACAUUGGAGGGGACUUGGCAGCUACAUAAGGCCUAGAGGCCUUUGGUUCACAUGCUGUGAAUCACAACAAUGUGAGCACUGUGCAUGGAGCACUUGUUGUGGCUGGCAGAGUAAUGUCCACACUCUAAUCUCUGGAACCUGGGAAUGUGUUCUCUCACAUGACAAAGAGGUAAUUAUGGUACAGAUGGAAUUAAGGUUGCUAAUCAGCUGACCUUAAACUAGGGAGAUUAUUUUGGAUUAUCUGGUGGCUCAAAGUAAUCACAAGCAUCCUUCAAUGUGGCAGGGCGAGAGGGAAGAGAAGAGAGUCGGGGGAAAUGUAAUGACAGAAGAACAGACAGAAAGAUGCACACAGCAUUGUUGGCUCAGGGCAGGUGGAUAUCCACUCUCUGCUUGAGUGCCUUCAGUGAUGGGGAACUCAGUUUUAACCACAGAACGCAUCGAGGUCUUGGACAGCUCUGCCUAUUGAAAAUAUCUUUUUGUUGUUUCUUUUUAGAUACAGAGCCUUGCUAUGUUGCCCAGGCUGGUUUCAAACUCCUGGCUUCAAAUAAUCCUCUCAUGUUAGCCUCCCAAGUAGCCGGAAUUACAGGCACACACCACUGCACCUGGCUGAAGAGAUUUUUCUGAUUCAGCGCGUUCAUUGUAAUCUGCCACCAUGAGACCACUAUUCUUGGGAAGACCCUCAGAAUGUGUUUGUUCCCCAUCCCCUACAACAACCAUUGAGAAGCAUGUGGACACAGCUCACAUGUCCCAUGGGUCUUCUUCUCUUCACCCUGAAUGUCCUUAGUCCUCCACCAUUUCUAACCGGACAUAGUUUCAAGCCCCAUGACAUCCUUUCACUCCAACUGUUUUGUGUCCCUUCCCAAGGCAUGUGCCCAAGACUUCUCUGUUCUUCCAGAUGACCUGUGCUUUCUGGAGGAACUAGAACUAUCUCUGCUCCCACCUUAGGUAUUGUAUUUUUACAGAUUAGCCUCAGGCAGAUGUUUUUCUAGAGGCUGAAAACCAAUCUUAAGUCAUAUUGGGUUUACUGUUGACUAAAACCACCAAUUCUUUCCAUCACUUGCAGGUUCUGAGACCCCUGUUAAACAACCAACCUCCAUGUCAUUCAUUCAUCAACCGAUACUCAUUGCACUCUUUCUUUGGGUUGUGCUGUGCUCUUGAUUCUAGGAAUACUGCAAUGGACAAAGCAAUGUUCUUGGCCUCACAUUCUAGAAUAUUCUGAAGGCCCAUGUACAAGCUUUUCAUUUAGGCCAGCAACAAUUCGUUUUGUUGGAAUGUCCUUUAGUCCACAGAGGCCACUGGGGAGCUUGACUCUGCUGCCCAGCAUCUUUUCCACCCCCAGAUUUUUGUCAGGCUUGCUCCUUCUUGGCAGUUCUCAUCAGACCAAGCCCUGAGGACCCCAGUUGACCCAAGCAUGAGACAGACACACCCUCUUCACCUUGCCUGUGUUUGGUCUGUAGGUAUAGGAACACUCUCAUGAGCCAGCUGGACUGGAGCACAGUAUUCUUUGAAUCUCAGGAAGUUUUCCACAAAAGCAGAAAGCCCCUUGUCUCUUCUCACCUCUCAUCUUUCUUUACUUCUUAUCUUCUCAAUUGCCUUAUGAAGACAAACUAAAGCCAUUUGCUUAUUGAUCUGCCCCAAUAACCUCCUGGAGGACCAGGACCAUGCCCUAAUAUUAACAAGAAUUUGUACUAGUCGAGUGCUUAUUGUUUACUGUCUUUUUUGAUGCCGGGAAUAGCCCUAUGCAAUGGGUACUCUUAAUAUCCCCCCCACAGAUGAGGAAGCUGAGGCUGGAAGAAAUUAUGAAGCCCAUUCAGGACUGGUUGCAGCUGGGAAGCAGAGGAGCUGGGAUUUAACCUCACGGGUAUCUGGUCUUAGAACCCGGGCUUCUGAGCACUGUGCUGCACUAUUAUUUUCAUGUCUGUGCACCCAGAAUUGAGUCUAAUGCUUACCACAUUGUAGAUGCCCAAGAAAUAUUUGCUGAAAUAAAUGAUUGACUCAGGGUUAUGUCAGGUGAGGGAUAGCCAGCUAGACAGCUGCUUUCAGCUCAGCCUAAAGAGUCCAUAUAAUCAGGUCCUUCCUUAAAUGGGGUGGUCUCAGCAUUGCCAGUCAAAGAGCAAUGAAAGCUAGAAUGGGGACCCAGACACUGUCCAACUGAGGUCGCCCAGGGUUAAGCCAUCAUACCCAAGGCCAAGAGCAGAGUGGAGAAUGGAAGACACAGUCAUAAGGCUGGGAGCUAAAAGAGGAGCUCAAGAAAGAAGUAGAGAGGGGGAUAGGGCUCUAAUGGGGACCAGGACUGGCUCUGCAGGGCUUCCUGUUCCAGGGGGCUGCGAUCUGGGCAUCAGUAGAUCGACCUGGAAUAAAGACCCAGGGUCUUUCAAGAUAAUGGCAUGCCCCUAAUCUGAAAUGGAAGUAGAGCCUUCUGGGAAGCUGCCAUUUUGCAGAAUUGGCUCAACUUGGAGGCCAGGCUCAUCUGGAACCCUCCUCCUAAACUGAGACAGCUGUUCCUGAGAAGUGGCCCAUCUAGGGCCCUCUGUGGGAAGUUUGGGUACUCGCACUUUCAAUUCUGUAUGUUGUUAUUGAUUUUCCAAAUAAAUGUGGACUUAGGUCUUCAUUCAUUCAAAAUGCAUUUGUUCUGAGUUGGGGAUCACUUGGAGAGAGGUUGGAUUGGAUUUCACCUUCCUUGUUUCCUGUAGAAUAAAUGAAAUUGCAGGCGGCAUGGGUAGCUCACCCAAGACAGUGAUUGAGAUGGGCACAUUUUACUAAGUGGGGUGUAAAUAUAUAUAUAUCCUUGGAUACAGAAUCCUCUGAGAUAU